AGCGAACGCUGGCGGCAGGCCUAACACGUGCAAGUCGAACGAACCCUUCGGGGUUAGUGGCGGACGGGUGAGUAACACGUGGGAACGUGCCUUUAGGUUCGGAAUAACUCAGGGAAACUUGUGCUAAUACCGAAUGUGCCCUUCGGGGGAAAGAUUUAUCGCCUUUAGAGCGGCCCGCGUCUGAUUAGCUAGUUGGUGAGGUAAUGGCUCACCAAGGCUACGAUCAGUAGCUGGUCUGAGAGGAUGACCAGCCACAUUGGGACUGAGACACGGCCCAAACUCCUACGGGAGGCAGCAGUGGGGAAUCUUGCGCAAUGGGCGAAAGCUUGACGCAGCCAUGCCGCGUGGAUGAUGAAGGUCUUAGGAUUGUAAAAUCCUUUCACCGGUGAAGAUAAUGACUGUAGCCGGAGAAGAAGCCCCGGCUAACUUCGUGCCAGCAGCCGCCGUAAGAC
rnacentral:rRNA from 1 species